AAGACCUUGCGCUUUUGGAGCGGCCGAUGCCUGACUAGCUUGUUGGUAAGGUAAAAGCUUACCAAGGCUUCGAUCAGUAGCUGGUCUGAGAGGACGACCAGCCACACUGGGACUGAGACACGGCCCAGACUCCUACGGGAGGCAGCAGUGGGGAAUUUUGGACAAUGGGGGCAACCCUGAUCCAGCCAUGCCGCGUGAGUGAAGAAGGCCUUCGGGUUGUAAAGCUCUUUCAGCCGGAACGAAACGGUUACGGAUAACACCCGUGACUACUGACGGUACCGGAAGAAGAAGCACCGGCUAACUACGUGCCAGCAGCCGCGGUAAUACGUAGGGUGCGAGCGUUAAUCGGAAUUACUGGGCGUAAAGCGUGCGCAGGUGGUUUUGUAAGUCAGAUGUGAAAGCCCCGGGCUCAACCUGGGAACU
rnacentral:rRNA from 1 species